rnacentral:misc_RNA from 1 species
GAUGAAGAACGUAGCGAAAUGCGAUAAGUAAUGUGAAUUGCAGAAUUUAGUGAAUCAUCGAAUCUUUGAACGCACAUUGCGCCCUAUGGUAUUCCGUAGGGCAUGCCUGUUCGAGCGUCAUUACACACCUCAAGCUCUGCUUGGUAUUGGGCGUCGUCCCCUAAACGGGACGUGCCUCAAAGACCUCGGCGGUGGCGUCUUUGCCUCAAGCGUAGUAAUCUUUUUAUCUCGCUUUGGAGUCGAAGGCGUCGCCCGCCGGACGAAACCUUUAUUUUUCUAUCAAGGUUGACCUCGGAUCAGGUAGGGAUACCCGCUGAACUUAAGCAUAUCAAUAAGCGGAGGA